CUCCCUCCCCUCUGCCCUGGAGAUAAUUACUAAGUAACUCAAUUAUCUCCAGGACAAAGCCAGUCACCAUUUUAAAUAUAAAAUCAUAAAAUACACAAAAAUACAUAACUUUAAAACAACCGAACAUUUCCCAUUCGUAUCACAUAUCCCCAGAUAGCCUGGAUCUGAGUGCAUAUUAUUAGCGAAUAGCGCUCAGAUCCCACACACAUAGUUCAAUCACCAUGGAGUCAAAGUUCUUACAGUCUUUCGGUAUACGAAUGACUCCAUGGGAAGGCUAUCUGGGUUAAGGCCUUUCGUAUGCUUCAAACCUCCCGAACGGCUGGUAUUCGUAUGCUUUCGUGGAGGCAGCCAGGCGUUCCGUUUCAGCGGUGUUCGGCCGGCAGAAAAAGUGUCCGUUUUCAGUUCCAUAGAAAUAGAGCCAAACACC